rnacentral:rRNA from 1 species
AACCUGCCUUUGAGAAGGGGAUAACUGUCCGAAAGGAUAGCUAAUACCCUAUAUUGCCUUUUGUCACUAAGGCAAAAGGUGAAAGCGAGGCUGUCAAAGGCUUCGGCUCAAAGAGGGGUUCGCGUCCUAUCAGGUAGUUGGUGGGGUAAUGGCCUACCAAGCCAAUGACGGGUAGCUGGUCUUAGAGGAUGAUCAGCCACAGUGGGACUGAGACACGGCCCGCACCCCUACGGGGGGCAGCAGUGGGGAAUCGUGGGCAAUGGGCGCAAGCCUGACCCCGCAAUGCCGCGUGAGGGAAGAAGCCCUUCGGGGUGUAAACCUCUGUCAGAUGGGAAGAUGGGACUAGGGGCUAAUACCUCCUAGUCUUGACGGUACCAUCAGAGGAAGGGACGGCUA